CAUAUACUGCAGUCGAGCGAAUGGAUCUAGAGAGCUUGCUCUUAUGAAGUUAGCGGCGGACGGGCACGUGGGUAACCUACCCAUAAGACUGGGAUAACUCCGGGAAACCGGGGCUAAUACCGGAUAAUAUUUUGAACUGCAUAGUUCGAAAUUGAAAGGCGGCUUCGGCUGUCACUUAUGGAUGGACCCGCGUCGCAUUAGCUAGUUGGUGAGGUAACGGCUCACCAAGGCGACGAUGCGUAGCCGACCUGAGAGGGUGAUCGGCCACACUGGGACUGAGGACACGGCCCAGACUCCUACGGGAGGCAGCAGUAGGGAAUCUUCCGCAAUGGACGAAAGUCUGACGGAGCAACGCCGCGUGAGUGAUGAAGGCUUUCGGGUCGUAAAACUCUGUUGUUAGGGAAGAACAAGUGCUAGUUGAAUAAGCUGGGCCACCUUGACGGUACCUAAACCAGAAAGCCACGGGCUAACUACGUGCCAGCAGCCGCGGUAAUACGUAGGGGCAAGCGUUAUCCGGAAUUAUUG
rnacentral:rRNA from 1 species